AAGGUUGAGGGCUGAGAGGAAAGCGCCUGCAUCAAUGUAACGUCGUGCCAAGAUAAGAGGCUUUAUUACGCAAACUUCCCGGAUAAAAUGUUUUAAUUUUCGCCACAUGUCGGGAAAUGAAGCUGGCAAACCUCACGUACGAGUUCUCUUAAAUGCCAAAAGAUACGCACAACUUCUGCACAGAAGAGAAUAUCUCAGAGUGCAUUCAAUACAUCAAUCAGGAGUUGUCGUCUCUGUGCUUCCCGCCAAUUUUCCGUAACUCAGAUGACAUCCGUGAUCUGGAUGCUGUGGUUGCUUUAAACAACAUUUAUGACUUGCUUCAGCUACACCGUCGUGCUGUGGGAAUGAUGGAGGAGCUGGAGGUGGAGCAGCUCAAGUCCAGCAGUGACCUCCAUUACCAGCACCUCACCAACUCCAGACUGAAGGACCAGCUGGAACUUUCUAAGAAGGAAAACAUGCGCUUGCACGAAAGAGAGCGUCAGCUAGAAACCAACUUAAAGACUUUGCAAAACAGCCUGAAAGAUGCAAAAGAGGAAGUACAAAGGCUGCAGGGUAUCAUUGCGAGUCGUGCCACACAAUAUAAUCAUGAUAUUAAGAGGAGAGAAAGGGAGCACAACAAAGUAAAAGAACGCCUCAGUCAAGUGCUUAUUGCCAAAAAGGAUAACAAACAAGGAAUGGAUGUUUUGAAUUAUGUUGGAAGGUCGGAUGGGAGAAGAUGUCUUUGGAAAACUGGAAAAACUGAAUCCAGACAUGAGGGAGAAAUGUACAGAAUACUUCUCAAUGAGUUUGAUAAUCGUCAGAGAGAACUAAUGCAGGAAAACAUAGAACUGAAGAAAGUGCUUCAACAAAUGAAACGAGAGAUGGUUGGACUUUUAAAUUCUA